rnacentral:rRNA from 1 species
ACUCCUACGGGAGGCAGCAGUGGGGAAUAUUGCACAAUGGGCGCAAGCCUGAUGCAGCCAUGCCGCGUGUGUGAAGAAGGCCUUCGGGUUGUAAAGCACUUUCAGUCGUGAGGAAGGUAGUGUAGUUAAUAGCUGCAUUAUUUGACGUUAGCGACAGAAGAAGCACCGGCUAACUCCGUGCCAGCAGCCGCGGUAAUACGGAGGGUGCGAGCGUUAAUCGGAAUUACUGGGCGUAAAGCGCAUGCAGGUGGUUGUUAAGUCAGAUGUGAAAGCCCGGGGCUCAACCUCGGAAUUGCAUUUGAAACUGGCAGACUAGAGUACUGUAGAGGGGGUAGAAUUUCAGGUGUAGCGGUGAAAUGCGUAGAGAUCUGAAGGAAUACCGGUGGCGAAGGCGGCCCCUGGACAGAUACUGACACUCAGAUGCGAAAGCGUGGGANCGAAACAGGAUUAGAUACCCCGUGUAGCGACUGA